rnacentral:lncRNA from 1 species
GCAUGUGAUUUUGUAUCUUCUUCAUUUUGUGAUUAGAUUUGAUUUUGAGCUGCUAUUUGGCUUGGGAGAUUUUUGGCAGUCCCAGGUGUUAAGGUAUGAGUACUUGAGAAAUUUUUUUCGUUUAUAUCGACUUAUAUGUGUUCGGAAUUUAGUUUUAGUACUUUGAUUGUGGUUUUUCCUUUUGGUUUCUAUUAGGGGUGGGCGCGGUCCGGUU